AUGGGCCAAAUGCCAGCACAAAGGCUCCAGCAGGCGUGGAGCCAGGGAGCUGCCUACGGAUCUCUCUCGAAAGGAGCAAAGUCUGCAGCCCUGCCCGCCUGCUCACCCGUCCUGCCAGCUCAGAUGCCAUCCAUACUACUCCGGCCUCCUUCCUGGGCCUGCAGUUUGGAUCCUGAUGACAGACCUGGCUUGGGAGAACCAGCCAGAUAUGUGAACGGGUCUGAUGGAGGCCUGUCCUGCCUGGAAGACCUGGACACCAGCACUGAUGAGCCUGGUGUCAAGGCAAAGUCCCUAGAGGCACUGCCCAUGGAAUCUAAUAGCAGAAAGGAAGAGGGUGUGCCUAGGGAUGAGGGAAGGGCCGAAGGAAGCAGCCCUUCUAAGAGUGCGUCUAGGAGACUCGGGGCUUAGGUGCCUCAUGGAUCCUGUGAGACUCAAGAGGUAAAACAAUGACGCCCGUGAGCCCCAGAAUGUCACAGAAUCACAGAGUCACCUGACUGGAGACAGGUUGUGGACAGAAACAAGGGACAGCUCCAUGGUGACCUGCAUUGACCCAUGACCCAGAAUGAUAAAUGCCAGGGACAGGUGGCACAGGAGAGCAGGUGGCCAUCCUUCUAUCACCUCUGUACACCAUGCAGAAAUGCAGUCUCUGGGAAAAGGAGGGGCAGAUCAGCUGAGACUGAUUUGUUACCUACCUGGGCUGAAUGGAGGCUCAAAAUAGGAACUCAACUCAGUUAUGAUAGCGAUAUUUAUAUCUACCCCAUACCUGAGUUUAUGGACUGAAAAUUAUACCUUCUACAAGCAAAGGACUGAACUCAGAUGAUAGUAACAUGGCCCAAACAAACACAUAUUCAGAGCUGGGGCCUUGCCUGAAAUAAGGUCCAUCUCUUUCUUCCAUUCCGACUGCUGGGGCAAUUCAGCAUGACACGCCAAGAAUCCGUGAACUAGAUCCAAAGUCUCUCUGGUUGAGGAUUACAACUAUAGCUAAAGGUCCAAACACAGUAAACCAUACAAGGAAUGAGAGUUGAACAGUCAAGGCCCAGACUUCUGCUUGAAGACAAACUUUUGGGGCUACCCAGGGCUGAGUAGGGCUUCAGGCGCCCCUCCUUUCUGUGACUCAGAAGCACUGUGUCCAGGAAAGUCUUCUCGGAAAAAAUGAGGUUGGGGAUGAAAUUUUAAAAUGAGUAGAACUACAAAGGGAGAAAGGGAAGAGUUACCAGGAAAGCAGAACUACAUGAGCAAAGGCCCCACAGUACGGGGGAGCUGGGCUUGCUCAUGGAAGGAAACAGGCUCCAUGUCUGGAGUCUGGGAUCGGAGGUGGGUGAAUGAAGCAGGACCUCACUUGGCACUUUCAAAAGCCAGUUGGGACCUCCCUGUCCUGAGUGAUCCCUUCUUCUGGUGUUCAUACCCAUGGAAUCCCCUCCCUUGAGUUUGGGCUGGAGCCAGUGACUUGCUUCUGAUGAACGGAAUAAAAUAGUGACAGAUGCCCCUUCCAUGGUUUGGUUAUAAAAGACUUCCGUCUCGCUCACAUUCUCUCUUCUGUCCUCACUAGCUUGUUCUGAUGAAGCAGGCUGCCACGUUGUGAGCUGCAUAUGGAAAGGCCCAUGCUGCAUGGCACUGAGGAGCCUCCAGGCAGCAGCCAGUGAGGAGCUGGAUCCUGCCAGCCACCAUGUGAGUGAGCUGGGAAGUGGAUCCAACUCCAUUUCAGCCUUGAGAUGGCCACAGUCCCAUGGACAUCCUACUUGCAGCCUUGUGAGGGGCCUUGAGCCCAAGACCCAGCUAAGCCACACCCAGAUUCUCAACCCAGAGAAACAGUGAGAUAAUAAACUGUGCUGGUUUUUAAGCCACUAUGUUUUGGGGUAAUUUGUUACACCACAAUAGAUAACUAAUUCAGCCAGUAACAUAGACAGAUAUGAGAUAGUGUAAGACAUUUUAGAUUUUAAUGAUUAUCCUUUGGGUAUUAGAGUGUUCCAGGUAGGUUCUCAAACCUGGUACCCACAUGUAAUCCAUCUGAGCUUCUGAUUCUGAACCUUCCUGAUUCAUAUAAUCUACGUAUCACCUGAAGUUAGGUGAAAACUGCUGUUGUUUUACUAACAUCGAGGUGGUCGGUGGACAAUGGGAGGUUGAAAAGAAUGGGGACUAAGCUUGGUUGACAACCUACUGAACUCUGGCUCUUGCAGGAUGUUUUGCUGAAUGUUCAAGUAUCUCACUGAUCCUUAAGGCUAUCCAUGAAUCCUGAGGGGUGCAGUUAAGUAACUCACCCAGGAAUACCCAGCUAGUCAGAGGCAUGACAAGAGCUUCCUGCAGCUCUGCCUUUGAGACCAGCUGUAUGCCACAGGCUUCUGACCUUACUCUCACCAGUGGCCCUUUCCAGAAACAGCUGGUCCACUGAGUGAGGACUGAUGGUGGAGAAGGCAGAAAGCCAAAGAUACCUUAUUGUUCCUGGGGAAAUAUGCCCAGGCAGACCUUUCCAGGGAAGUUGAAGAAGCUGCAUGUUGGCUCUGGGAGAGGUGACAUUCUGCCAUUGCUUCCUACUAAUGGAACCCCUGUGAUUACUAGGAGCAUCCACCUGCCCCAUAAAUGUCCCGGCCUCUCUUGCCAUAGAGGGUACCCAAUAAGAUGUAGGUGGAAGUUACUGGGAGAAGCUUCCAGUAAAGAUUUUUUAAAUUGCUGACUUAGCUGACAAGUGCCUCCUCCUGCACUUCUUACCCCUUCUUGGUGCCUGGACUGUGGACAUAGUGGCUGGAGCUGCAGCAGUGUUUUACAACCAUGCAAUGACCUUGACAGAGGAAGCUACUCUGUAAGAGUAGUAGAGCAUGAAGACGGAAAGAGCCUUGGCCUCUUGGAGGGGAUGACUGGGGCGCCGUCAUUCUAACCCUUGACUAUUUGCAUCAGGAGUUCUUUUAUGUGAAAGAAAAGUAAACCUUUUUCUUCUUUAAGCCACUGUUACCUGGGUUUUCUGUUACAGGUAGCUGAUACUAACCUUGAGUGAUAGACUUGCAUUCUUAGUAAGGCAUUUAAACAGGAUUCGGGGAUUUCAUUUUUAAAUGGCCCGGAUCCCAGACUCUCAAAAUAUCAUUUCCCUUCUCCCCAUCUUAGUUAAAUAGUUAUUGCUGUGCUCUCCAGAGGACAGGGGCACUGAAAUUUCCUGAGCAUCUACUUGACCCCACACACUGCGCAUAAAUCAUAUUCUUUGUACUUGCCUCACAGUGAAUUUGUGAGAUGAGAUCACCACCCCAUUUUACAGACAAGGAAAUGGAAAUCGGACAGAUUGUACCAGUGUUCAGGGAAACACCACUAGAAUUUGAACCCAGACCUCUCUGGCUCCAUGGCCCAGACUUUUUCUGUCUCCCAGGUCUAGAACUCUGUGUCCCAGUUCGUGCAGAAGGUGAAGCCAGUUGGACCAUGCGGAGGGCCCUGGCUCAGGGUGCCAUCCCUUCCCCCAAAUCUCCCACUUGCUGCCACAGGCCGAAGUCUUCUCCACUGCAAGGUGAUAAAGCAGACAGCCCAGCUGGCCGCCCUCUCCUCACUCGCUGCCAUCCUAUUUAGUGACCAUCUGGCUUUCAUCUCUGUAAUUCUCUGACUGUCCCUCCUUGAGGUCCCUCUUAAAGAAGCACACACCCUGUUUGGCUUCAGUAAAGGACCUCUACUUCCAAGCCAAUGCCUCCCCAGCCUUUACCAGGGCAAGCCUAACAAAGAAAAGGUAAAACAACAGGGAUUUCUGGUAGCAACACAAGUCUAUUUCAAACCUCGGAUUAGAGUAUCUGAAAAGGUUACCUGUUCCAAGCAAACACAUUUCCCCCCCUCUGGCAGAAAUGUGGUCGGAGCAGCCUGAUGCCAUGACAGGCUCCAAAUAUUCUCCAUCGAAGCUUGCUUUAUCCUGUUUGAAACUCCUCUGUCUGUCCCCAGAGAGUCUGGAAAUACACUCUUUCUAGGAGCUGAUGGAAAAUUAACCCACAUUAGGAGAGAGCUAGGUGAUGCUGAAUUGGGGACAGGAAGGUCCAUUUGAAAGGGGAAAAAAAAUCAUGUUCUUUGUAACCAGGACAAGGCUAACCAUGCCUUCUCUCUAUUGGUCCAAAUCUAUGCCAGCCUCCCACUGGCAUCUGCAGGCGGGCUGAGAGCAAGCUAUGGAUUUCUAUAGAGAUUGUCACCAUGGUACUAGGUAUCUUAUUCUGUUAUUUCAAGAGGAAAAAUAAUCAAAAGGUCAAAGGAAGAAAAUCUACCAUAGGGCUUUUCAUUUUACAAAUAUUUAUUAAUGCUUUGGUGUGUUCCUGGCAUACAUUAGAUGCUAGCACAAGCAAGAUGGGCUCAGAAAACCCACCUGUAUUGUAUAUUCACCAUGAGGCUAUAGCACAAAGCGAGCCACUGUUUAUCCGUGAUCUGAUUUCUCUCAUGACAGCCUUGAAAUGGCAACAGUAUAAUUCCUAUUUUCUCAACUGGGAGAAAAAUGAAGUAUAAGUGCCCAAGUGUAUCCAGAAUUUGGGAUGAAGGGUGUGGUCUGGACCAGGCCAUCUCAGUUGGAAAUAGAAAGUAAGUGCAGUAGGGAUUAUGAAGAUAAAAGACUGAAAGGUCUAAGAUGUGAGGCAAGGGUGCUCACAGGGUGUUGAGCACCUGCAACUAGCCACAGGGAGACUCUCUUGCCUCCCAUCGGCUUGACAGGCAAGGAAAGGAAACUGCAUUACCAGAGCCUGGUGGGGGCUGGGCUUGGAGCAGGCGAGAGUUGGGCAGAGAAUGGAUAGUGGGUGAGAUGGAAAAUCAAGAGUCCCCAGCACAGAUGCGCUUGCUGACCAAGCUUGGGUUAUGGUCCCCACCCUGGGUGUUGAAGGCCUGUGGCAGGGGAUGCACCCCUGUAGUGAUUAAUCAGCUACCACUGCACUAAUUAUGGGAAACAACUACAAAACUCAGUGGCUUAUGCUAACAAGACUUUCUAUUUCUUUCUUUCUUUUUUUGUUUUUUAGUUUUGCUCUUGUCACCCAGGCUGGAGUGCAGUGGCACAAUCUCAGCUAACUGCAACCUCCGCCUCCCAGGUCAAGCAAUUCUCCUGCCUCAGCCUCCAGAGUAGCUGGGAUUACGGGCAUGCACAACCAUGCCUGGCUGAUUUUGUAUUUUUAGGAGAGAUGAGUUUCUUCAUGUUGGCCAGGCUGCUCUUGAACUCCCAACCUCAGGUGACCUGCCCACAUCAGCCUCCCAAAGUGCUGAGAUUACAGGUGUGAGUCAUUGCACCUGGUCACCUUUCUAUUUCUUACUUAUAAAUCCGGAAAUAAGUUGCAUCCUUGCUGGGAGGGACUGAGC
rnacentral:lncRNA from 1 species